AUUAACGAAUAUAAAUCGGAAAGCUGUCGCUGGCCUCUCGGGGCAUGUGCACGCUGACCGUGUUUCAAAAAUUUCUCACCUGUGAACCUAAUGUAGGAUGCCUCUCCUCUGGGAGAGGGGACCUAUGUCAUCAUAUACAUCUUCGUGUAGAAAGUCUUAGAAUGUUUACUAUCAGAGAGUCGCGACUUCUAGGAGACGCGAAACUCUGAGAUAAAAGUUAUUACAACUUUCAGCAAUGGAUCUCUUGGCUCUCGCAUCGAUGAAGAACGCAGCGAAAAGCGAUAUGUAAUGUGAAUUGCGGAUCUACAGUGAAUCAUCGAAUCUUUGAACGCACCUUGCGCUCCUCGGUGUUCCGAGGAGCAUGCCUGUUUGAGUGUCAGUAAAUUCUCAACCCUUCUUGAUUGAGGGAGUUUGGAUAGUGGGGGUUGCUGGAGACUUUUAUUAGACUCGAGCUCUCCUGAAAUGCAUCGGCUUGCGGUCGACUUUCGACUUUGCGCGACAAGGCUUUCGGCGUGAUAAUGAUCGCCGUUCGGCUGAAGCGCAUGACUGAAGGUUUCGCGCCUCUAAUACGUCGACUCUUAUUAUCUCUUCGGAGAGAAAAGGUCUUCUUUAUUGACUUUUGACCUCAAAUCAGGUAGGACUACCCGCUGAACUUA
rnacentral:rRNA from 1 species